AUACUUACCUAGCAGGCGAGAUACCAUGAUCAUGAAGGUGGUUUUCCCAGGGCGAGGCUUAUCCAUUGCACUGCAGAUGUGCUGACCCCUGCGAUUUCCCCAAAUGUGGGAAACUUGACUGCGUAAUUUGUGGUAGUGGUGGACUGCGUUCAUGCUUUCCCCUG
ensembl:snRNA U1 U1 spliceosomal RNA